CUGUAUCUGUGGACCUAAACGCCUUCUGCAGCGGCGACUGGAAAACGGGAGGGGACCCAACCCCGCUGACCUUGGCCAUGGCUGACUUCUGGAACUGCUUGUACAAGCCAAGGAAAUAGAUCCACGGGGUGGACCCCACCUUGCAAGAGGACGGCUUGAGGUCUCCUGUGAAGGUAGCUGCUCCAGAACCUCCCAGGUUCCUCUGGUAGGAACUGAUGUUACCUCAACACUCUGGGCACUUAGCUUCUGGACAUCCUUGGAGGUUUCGGAAAAAGCGCAGCAUGGAGGAGCAGCCUAGGAUCCGUGACCGAGGGGUCUGAGGGGUCCGCGCCUGGGCUGCCAUCCUGAGUGGGACCCCGACUCAGGGAGAAGUCAUGGCAGCCAGCCAGCCCAGGACCAACUGCUAGCAGAAACCUCCAGUUGGAAACUUCCAGGAGU